rnacentral:misc_RNA from 1 species
GUCCGCAAGGAUGGUGAAACAGUGGACUUUUCAUACUGGAAAUGCAUAAAGGGGUUAAUUAGAAAAAACUAUCCACUCUAUGCUGACAGUUUUAUCCUCAGGCAUUUUCGGAAGCGGUGGCGUAAUGACUGAAUGUAUCAUUCGGAAACUCGUAGCUACCCUGAAUUUCAUGCAAAGGAGAUUCUUUUACUAUUGCCGAGCACAUUAUGUUGAGUGUCGAUCAAAUAUUUUUGAAGGUUGUGAUAUAAGUUCAUAUUUAUUGGGAGAUUACUGCAAUCUACUCACAGUAGAAUUGCCCUUCCAAUUACUUCUGUCUAAAAAUCUACACUGUAGAAUUCAAUUUACUCUAGUGAUCAAAAGAAAUUCAAGUUAGUGUAAGUUUUGCUUAG